rnacentral:rRNA from 1 species
GAUGGCUCAUUACAACAGCCGUUGUUUCUUGGAUCUUGAUUUACUUGGAUAACUGUGGUAAUUCUAGAGCUAAUACAUGCAUCAAAGCUCCAACCGCUUGGAAGGAGUGUAUUUAUUAGACCAAGACCAAUUGGGCUCUGCCCAUUAUCUGGUGACUCUGAAUAACUUUGCUGAUCACAUGGUCCUGAACCAGUGACAUAUCUUUCAAGUGUCUGCCCUAUCAACUUUCGAUGGUAGUUUAUGUGCCUACCAUGGUUGUAACGGGUAACGGAGAAUAAGGGUUCGACUCCGGAGAGGGAGCCUGAGAAAUGGCUACCACAUCCAAGGAAGGCAGCAGGCGCGCAAAUUACCCAAUCUCAGUUCGAGGAGGUAGUGACGAAAAAUAACGAGAUGGUUCUCUAUGAGGCCCAUCAUCGGAAUGGAUACAAUCUAAACCCUAUAGUGAGGAUCUAUUGGAGGGCAAGUCUGGUGCCAGCAGCCGCGGUAAUUCCAGCUCCAAUAGUGUAUAUCAAUUUUGCUGCUGUUUAAACGCUCGUAGUUGGAUCUUUCCAAGGAUGGAGUCUGUCCUAUUGGACAUGUACUCUUGUCUGAGGAUGAUUAGCUGGUUUUCUCAUGGUGCUCUUCACUGAGUGUCUUGGGUGACUGGUGUUUUUACUUUGAAAAAAUUAGAGUGCUCAAUACAGGCGUUACUGCCCGAAUAGUGGUGCAUGGAAUAAUGGAAUAGGAUCUCGGUUCUAUUUUGUUGGUUUUAGGAGUGCGGGAUAAUGAUUAAUG